UACGGAGGGUGCAAGCGUUAAUCGGAAUUACUGGGCGUAAAGAGUACGUAGGCGGCUAUUUAAGUCGGAUGUGAAAGCCCUGGGCUCAACCUGGGAACUGCAUCCGAUACUGGAUAGCUAGAGUUUGUGAGAGGGUAGUGGAAUUCCAGGUGUAGCGGUGAAAUGCGUAGAUAUCUGGAGGAACAUCAGUGGCGAAGGCGACUACCUGGCACAAAACUGACGCUGAGGUACGAAAGCGUGGGGAGCAAACAGG
rnacentral:rRNA from 1 species